GAUGAACGUUGGCGGCGUGCCUAAUACAUGCAAGUCGAACGAGGGACUUCUGUCUUCGGAUGGAGGUUUCCUAGUGGCGAACGGGUGAGUAACGCGUUGGUGACCUGCCCCGAAGUGGGGGAUAACAGUUCGAAAGGACUGCUAAUACCUCAUGUGAUCAGCUGGAUUAGAUGCCUACUGAUUAAAGGCGAAAGCCGCUUUGGGAGGGGCCUGCGUCCCAUCAGCUAGUUGGUAAGGUAAUGGCUUACCAAGGCGAUGACGGGUAGGGGACCUGAGAGGGUGGCCCCCCACAAUGGAACUGAAACACGGUCCAUACACCUACGGGUGGCAGCAGUAGGGAAUAUUAGUAAUGGGCGAAAGCCUGAACUAGCAACGCCGCGUGUGCGAAGAAGGCCUUCGGGUUGUAAAGCACUUUUGUAGAGGAUGAGGAAGGACGGUACUCUCAGAAUAAGUACUCGGCUAACUACGUG
rnacentral:rRNA from 1 species